rnacentral:rRNA from 1 species
GACGAACGCUGGCGGCGUGCUUAACACAUGCAAGUCGAACGGAAAGGCCCUGCUUGCAGGGUGCUCGAGUGGCGAACGGGUGAGUAACACGUGGGUGAUCUGCCCCUUACUUUGGGAUAAGCCUGGGAAACUGUGUCUAAUACUGGAUAGGACCAUGCUGUAGGUGGUGUGGUGGAAAGAUUAGUUUCGGUAAGGGAUGAGCUCGCGGCCUAUCAGCUUGUUGGUGGGGUAAUGGCCUACCAAGGCGUCGACGGGUAGCCGGCCUGAGAGGGUGGACGGCCACAUUGGGACUGAGAUACGGCCCAGACGCCUACGGGAGGCAGCAGUGGGGAAGAUUGCACAAUGGGCGCAAGCCUGAUGAAGCGACGCCGCGUGGGGGAUGACGGCCGUCGGGUUGUAAACUCCUUUCAGCCAUGACGAAGACCUUGUGGUGACGGUAGUGGUAGAAGAAGCACCGGCUAACUACGUG